rnacentral:rRNA from 1 species
AGGAUGAACGCUGGCGGCGUGCCUAACACAUGCAAGUCGAACGUCCUGUCUCGCAAGAGGCAGGGAGUGGCGGACGGGUGAGUACCACGUGGGUUAUCUACCGUGAGGUGAGGAAUACCGGCGAGAAAUCGCCGACAAGACCGCAUAGCCUCGGUGCAAGCCGAGGAAAGCUUUCUCGAGAGAGGGAGCGCCACACGAGGAGCCUGCGCCCGAUUAGCUAGCUGGUGGAGUAACGGUUCACCAGGGCGACGAUCGGUAGCUGGUCUGAGAGGACGAUCAGCCACACUGGGAUUGAGAACGGCCCAGACUCCUACGGGGGGCAGCAGUGAGGAAUUUUCGUCAAUGGGGGCAACCCUGAACGAGCAACGCCGCGUGCAGGAAGAAGGUUUUCGGAUCGUAAAACUGCUUUUCUCGGGGGAAGAGAACGGACGGUACCCGAGGAAUCAGCCCGGCUAACUACGUGCCAGCAGCCGC